UCUCUGACAAGUUUGGUCAGUAUGUAAUUGUGACUGGAAAAUUAUACAAUACACUGGUAGUAUUUGUCAAUGUGUAUGCCCCUAAUGCAGACGAUGUAGGUUUUUUCGAGCGGUUAUUUUCAUUACUUCCAGACCUGAACACAUACUCUCUUAUACUCGGUGGUGAUUUCAAUUGUUGGUUAGAUCCUCUUUUAGACCGAUCCUCUACUAACCCCAGUACAGUAAGUAAAUCAGCUUGUUUCAUCCAA